rnacentral:rRNA from 1 species
UACGGGGGGAGCAAGCGUUGUUCGGAUUUACUGGGCGUAAAGGGCGCGUAGGCGGUCAGCACAAGUCAGUUGUGAAAUCUCCGGGCUUAACUCGGAAAGGUCAACUGAUACUGUGCGACUAGAGUGCGGAAGGGGCAACUGGAAUUCUCGGUGUAGCGGUGAAAUGCGUAGAUAUCGAGAGGAACACCUGCGGCGAAAGCGGCUUCCUGGUCCAGCACCGACGUUCAGGCACGAAAGCGUGGGGAGCAAACAGG